rnacentral:rRNA from 1 species
AACGAACGCUGGCGGCGUGCCUAACACAUGCAAGUCGAACGAGAAAGUGAGCUUCGGCUCGUGAGUAAAGUGGCAGACGGGUGAGGUAACACGUGGGUAACCUGCCCAGAGGUGGGGGAUAACUCCCGGAAACGGGUGCUAAUACCGCAUAACAUCUCGGGACUUCGGUUCCGGGAUCAAAGCUGGCCUCUACAUGUAAGCUAGCGCCACUGGAGGGGCCCGCGGCCCAUUAGCUUGUUGGUGAGGUAACGGCUCACCAAGGCUCCGAUGGGUAGCCGGCCUGAGAGGGCGAUCGGCCACACUGGAACUGAGACACGGUCCAGACUCCUACGGGAGGCAGCAGUGAGGAAUAUUGCGCAAUGGGGGAAACCCUGACGCAGCGACGCCGCGUGGAGGACGAAGGCCUUCGGGUCGUAAACUCCUGUCAAGAGGGACGAAAGUUGCAGGGAUGAAUAAGCCCUGUGAUUGACGGUACCUCUGGAGGAAGCCCCGGCUAACUCCGUG